CAUUCCCCACGCGCGCCACCAUGGGCACCCGCCGCUGGCCUCUCCACCCGGCGUUCGCGCUACCCUGCCCCCCGCACUACCCUGCUGGCUUGCUGCUCCCACACGCUCAAACCCUCUGCUCAACCCCGGUGCUCUCUCCUCACCUCGUCGUCGUCACGGCGGGCACCGUGUAGAUCUGGGGCUUAAUUUGCUGCAGAUCCCAGGAGCGACGGGGCUUAACCUGCUGCAGACGGGGGAGACAGGGCGGGCGCCGUGACGGAGCACUCCCUAGAGGCGCUGGUGCUUACCUCUCGUGGAAGCUUUCAGGGUUGGGAUCCCGGCGAGCGACGUCAUCAGCUCCGGCACUUACCUCGACUCCCAGGUUCCCGUUCCUCCUUGCAAAAAGAGAGACUUGACUAGAGUAUCACCUGUUCAUCUUUCACCUUUUUUGUCCCAUCCUCCUAGAUGAGCAUGGCAGAAGAAAGUGACGAGAUUGCUACUAAGACAAGGCUGUUGUCACUUGAACUGUUGCAGGGAUUGUUACACUUGCGCCCGUGCAUACGUGCUCAUGUGCCUCCAUGUGUGGCUCUCUAAUCAGAUCCAACCACUGCCUCCCUAUACAGCAGGGGCCAAACUAUGCGCCGCCCUACGCAUAGUCGGAUCUCUAAUCAGAUGAGCUGCCUCCACUAUUGUACGCAUGUUAAGCUGGGACGAUAAAAUUGCAUGUGGCAAGUGAUUGACCAUCUACUGAUUGAUUUUGCAGAUCUGGCAAUCUGGAUAGCUAAAUAUGUUAUAUAGCGGCCUCUAUGAUUUAGGACGUCCUCUUUUUCGGGAAAUGAUUCAAGGCAUCUGAAACAUGUGGAGAAACAUAUAUAGCAUUAGAUAAUUAAUCUCACGGUUGGUCAUAUUAUGAUGCUCAGUAAACUUAAAUAAGUUAUACGGUUAACUUUUAUGUCUUUGUCGUGCUUCCCAGAAAAGAUAAUGGUAAUCGCAAUAAUAUGCCACUAUUUAUGAAGAAAAACACUUGUAUGUACUGUAUUUGCAGCACUCAGUUGCAUGGUUCUCUUGGUUCUUUAAAAUAUAUAGGUUAACUUGAGCUAAUUUCUUAGCAUGUGUAUGAGCAUAGUUACGAGGCAUCCAAAGCAAGGAGAGGUUAAUUUCUUAGCAUGUGUAUGAGCAUAGUUACAAAUGUAUGGGAUGAACAGAACAAUUUCCAAUUUGACCCGUAUUUGGUCACACAAGGUUAGCUUUUCUAUAGCUUUUAUUGAUGAAUUUGAAAAUUAUAUGAGAAAAAUAGGCGAAUGUAUGCUUCUUUAAUGCUUCUUUAAUCAUGCAUAUUGAUUAUAACAGUCUUAUGCUAUUUGAACCUUUUCACUAUGCUUUGUACAUAUAACUUAUACUAUGCGCAAAUAUAUUGUUUCCAUGUAAGAAAAAAUGAUAAAUAAAAAUUAAGUCAAAAAAUACAUACAAUGCCUUCUGAAUCUGAGCAAUAUCCCCACAAUUUUUUUCUGUAUCACAAAGAGACCACCAUGAUGAGUAUGUGUUCCAAUGAGCAAGUGGUGCUAGCGUAACUCAUGAAUAAGGGAACACUAUAUCAAGGCUGUGAAGAAGGCUACCAUCGAGACAAAGAGCGAGCACCCCAAGGGUUAAUGCGUGGCGUAGAAGGUUAUCAAAAGAACUACGUCAUUUUUUUAAAUUAAUUUCCUAGAUAAGUACACUCGCACAUGCAUCUUUGCGACAAAUAAAAACUGCACUACUCUCUCUCUCUCUCUCAUCUAAUGUUAUCAGAAGUACUAAUUGUGGAUUUCAUCGCUAUUUUCUCCAAAAACUCUAUUUAGUAUCCCUUCCAAUGUAAGUUUAUUACUAUGUGAUUAGAGAAAUAAAGAGGUAUAUGCGCAUACUGUAAGAUCAUGAUCAGUGGUGUACAGAAAUCCUAUGAAGUGAAAUACACAACGUAUUUUAUAUAUACUAUCUGUGGUUAAAUUCCAAUGUAUGUAUAUUAAGAUAUUUGUUAGAAGUGUCAUUAAUGCAAACCAUUGUGCUGUAAUACUUCACGCAGGAUAUCUAAAGGGAACUCUUUUAAAUUAUGGUCUUAUUCUACAACUAUGAUUAAGGGAGUAUGCACGGGUUGAUGAAAAUGUCGCACAAUUAAUUCUAUGUUGUAUCACCCAAUGGACAGCAGCUUCCUUGACUUUAUUUUGUUCUCAUCUAGUGGCAUGGUAUUCUGCCAUGUUCCCUUGUCUUUAUGUACAGUUUCGAUGUCCAGUGAAAAGACCAAAUCAUUUACUUAGUCGCUCUUGGCCUGUUCUGCUAUCAUGGUUUUACUGAUGUUCACAUUCCAAAUUAACAAUUAGUUGCUAGUGGGUGUUGUCCUUGCUGAAAUGCUCACUUUAUGGAUUCCAAAGCUUCUUUGUUUACAUCUGAGCGUUGGAGUGCUUCCAAUUAAAGGACUUGUAUUAUUAUGCAUGGCUAAUUAAUACACUUCUAUAACUAUGGAAUUUUGAUAUUUGUUGUACUAAAACUCCACUAUGACAACCGGUGCACAACAACAACUUUGUAAUCCAUGUGCAGCUUCUAGGUUCCGGCUUUGUAGUGUGCAUCAUAUCUAGCUAAAAAAUGUAAUGAUGUGAAACUAUGUUAGAUCUUGCUGGUGUGCUGCUUGUCAACCUUGCUAUGUUGUUGUCUGCUGAAUUCUGGGUGUACAUCGACGCAAAUGAACAUGGAAACAACUUCAGAACUAUUCUUCACAUUUUUUUUACUAAAAAUUCGAACCACUGAACAUGAUCACUUCCAUAUCUCUGAAAUGAGAAUUUACUCAAGUUUCUAUUCUGCUAGCGAUAGUUUUGUUGUCAUGUUCAUAUAAGAAAAUGCCAAAUACAAAUGGCCUUCAUUAGCAUUACUAUAUUAGCAACACAAUAUGUAGUAGCAAACCCCAACAUAAAUGAUAUCUUUAGUUCCUAUGACAGAUAUAGAUGGAUUAUUAGUUCAUAAAGCAAGCGAUACAGCAAAAAACUAAGUGUUAUGUAUUUGUGAAUCAGAAAAAGGUGAACUCUCUCUCUCUCUCUCUCUCUAGGGUCUCUUGAACAUAUUCACUUCUUCCUGCAUGAUUUCUCUCCCCUUUUUAGAUUUAUUUUUGUGUUUGCCAACUUCGUAGUUUUACUUAUAUUCCAGUGAGCUCUGUUCUAUACUGGUGUAGUUAUGUUUGUAAUGUUUUUUCUCCUUGUGUGCUGAUUUUGCAAUGGUAAUUGGUUUCUGUACUCUGCAAGCCUCAUGAUACUAAUUGAAAUAUCCUUUAUCAUGUUGCAGAUGCUUAGCAAAUGCUUUCGCUGCUACCUGUUCUUAAUCAGUUGCUACUUUUUCUUAAUCAUCCGAUUUCUUACUCCUUUCAUUUAUGUAGGAAUGGCAUGUAGGUAGUUAUCCCCCAUGGGCACAUAGACCAGGAUACAUUGUAUCUCAGGAUAUAGGAAACACAAAAGAGGUGUGCUAAAGAUGUUCAAGCUGGAGAAUGUUCUCCAAUGGGAUGAAGAACGAAGGCUUUGAUGUCAAGUGCGAGAAUGAUGAAACGAUCUUGCUGGAAAGCUGUGAGGAUGGGUAGUAGUUGCCCACUACAAGGAGCCAAGGCAGAUGAUGUUUUGCAGAAAACAAAGUGAUGAACUUUUGCUCUCAGACAAUGAACUAUCAAGUUUCCUCUAUUUAAUUAGUUACAUUAGUUUAUUUAUAGGAAACUUGGCUGCUCAUUGGUUCAUAACAAAUGAACUAUUUAUAUGUGAAAAUUAAUGAAUGUGUAUGACUAUUGUUUGGUUCUGGUUUAAUAUUGUUGAAUGAUGCAUGUUAUUGUUA